rnacentral:rRNA from 1 species
UAGGGAAUCUUCCGCAAUGGGCGAAAGCCUGACGGAGCAACGCCGCGUGAGUGAUGAAGGUCUUCGGAUCGUAAAACUCUGUUAUUAGGGAAGAACAAAUGUGUAAGUAACUAUGCACGUCUUGACGGUACCUAAUCAGAAAGCCACGGCUAACUACGUGCCAGCAGCCGCGGUAAUACGUAGGUGGCAAGCGUUAUCCGGAAUUAUUGGGCGUAAAGCGCGCGUAGGCGGUUUUUUAAGUCUGAUGUGAAAGCCCCCGGCUCAACCGUGGAGGGUCAUUGGAAACUGGAAAACUUGAGUGCAGAAGAGGAAAGUGGAAUUCCAUGUGUAGCGGUGAAAUGCGCAGAGAUAUGGAGGAACACCAGUGGCGAAGGCGACUUUCUGGUCUGUAACUGACGCUGAUGGGCGAAAGCGUGGGGAUCAAACAGG